rnacentral:lncRNA from 1 species
GGAUUACUAAAAUCGAUUACUGGUACUGACUUUACGUUAGGAUUAGGGUUAGAGUUAGGGUUUUCUCUUUGUGAUCUGCUUUCCGGUGGUUGUAUGUACUGAGAUGGUACUGACAUCUCACCCUUUUCUGCCAAUGAUUGUACUCUCAGAGCCUCCAUGAAUUUUAGCUAGUAAUUUAAAUACAGGGAUUAUUGGAAAAUUGCAGAUCAGUGGUUGAGGUCCGGCGAUUGGAGAGAAACGGCUACGAAAAUGGCCGUGCGCGGAGGAGGAAUUGAGACGUGAUGGUAACGGAGAAUCUGAAAUCAGUGAACUUUUUGUACGCUUGAGAAUUAUUUGUAUGGAAAGCUCCAUUUUUCCUUGUGUUUCCAAUUUAGCCCCAUAAACUUUUAAGUCAAGGGCAAAGAUCCCG